AAGAAGGAAAUUAGAGAGAAUGAGAAAUCAUCGCCGAAGGGGCAACGCUAUAUUAAACUCUCAGGCAAAAGGAUAAUUUCCGGACA
rnacentral:ncRNA from 2 species